AGGAGUGUAGCUCAAUGGUAGAACUUACCUUGCAUGCAUAAGGCCCUGGGUUCAAUCCCCAGCUCUGUGA
rnacentral:tRNA from 1 species